GUGAGAACUUACAGCGCUAAAAGUCAUCAAUCUCAGCGUGAAAAUCUCUCGUGGAUAACUCAUCGUCUUUGUAAGUACCUCCCUACUCAAUCCUUACAUAGAAUCACAAACAUUUUUAAUUAACCGAUUCAACUGCCUUAAAUAUGGUCAUUUUCUUUGAAUGAAUGAUAAGAAUUUUAGGUUUUCAAGGUCGUAAAUAGUUUGGCAUAAGCGUGACCCGAUCUAAUAUACUAACUCUGCUGCCGAAUAAAAUUAUUUGGUUCAAGAUACAGCGGCGCCAUGUUCAGAAGCGAGAAAAACUUCCAACAGAAAGCGGAAUGAUGAAGGAUAUAUAACGGUUGCCAGCACCGCCGCACAUGGAGAUUUUCCUAGUCGCCCAGCCGCUGAUGGCGUAUGUACGCAACAUUAUUUUGUAGAACUCUCACGUCGUGUCAAAACAGGUUUCUCGUCUAUAAAACGCUUAUACAAACAUGCGAGGGGCUAUAACAUUGAUCCAACUAGUCGCAAAAUUGCCAGUAGGUUUCUGGCUCUGGCUGUGAUAGUAUUUGACCUUUUUCUCAUGUUGGGUUGAUUUCGGUUGAUUUCAAUCGCAGUUUGGGUCGUAUAUGGUGAGGAUUGGGUCAGCUGUUUUACGUCAGUUGUUGGACAAGUUUCGGAAAGUGUCGUCAUGAUUUUAAGGCGGCCAAUCGAGUUCUUCUACUGUUGGCUAUCUUUUAUUGCAAUCUACCCGAGUACCUGCAGUUCCAUUGAGAAAAAUCACCGCGGUCUCAAUCAAUUUUAUUCCGCACGAUCGAUCCUCAAAAGUUGGCGGAGGAAAGCUCAGGAGCAAUCAGCCAGACUAUUCGAUCGACUACCAAAGAAUCAGGAAGUCUUCUACACACCCCCAGAAGUGAUCAGGAACCGGGGCUACCCAGUCGAGGUUCACCAUAUCACAACAGAUGAUGGGUACAUUUUGGAAAUUCACCGCAUUCCGGCCCAAUCGUCUGGCGGACCCAAGAAAGCGGUUUUCCUUCAGCACGGAGUCCUUGAGUCUUCCGGCACUUGGCUCGUCAAUCCUUCCAAGCGCUCCCUUCCAUUUUUACUGGCCGAUAAAUCGUAUGACGUGUGGAUCGGUAAUUUCCGUGGUAAUAGGUAUUCCAGGAGACACGUCACCCUCAAUCCCGAUGAAACCGAAUUUUGGAGAUUCAGUUGGGAUGAAAUCGGCAAUUACGACCUGCCGGCCGUCAUCAAUUACAUUUUGAAAACAACUGGCCAAUCGAAAUUAUCUUACAUAGGACAUUCUCUGGGAUGCGGAACGUUCUUCAUCGCCAUGGUCAAACAUCCGGAGCUCAACUCUAAAAUUGACAUCAUGGUUGCCCUGGCACCGCUUUCUUCCUUUGCUCAUUUCACUACCCCCCUUUUUCGCUUUUUAGCUCCGCUGGAUCGAAUCAUCCAGACUUACCUCCAGAUGGUAGGGACUUGGGGUUGGCUGGACAGCCAAGGCUCAGGCGAUCGCUUAUUCAAUUCCCUGUGCGGGAAGACUUACACCCUGGCCAACCGUUGCGCGGACUUGAUACGCGCAUUUUCUGGGCCGAAUCCCAGCAACAAUUUCGACCCUACUGCAGUGCCAGGGAUGAUUGCAAAUGCUUUCCACGGGACGUCGGUUCCUGUCAUCGCCCAAUUUGCGCAAAAUUUCCAAGCAGGGGAGACAUUUCAAGCUUACGAUUACGGGCCUCGAGGGAACAUUAUGCGCUACGGAUCGACCAGACCGAUGGAAUACCACCUGGAUCGAAUUACAGCUCCGAUUUACGUGUUUUCGGGAGGAAAUGACCAUAUUGUUACGCCAUUGGAUGUUGACUGGCUACUGACUCAACUCAAAAACAUGAAGGGAUCCACCCGCAUUCCAGAAUACAAUCACGGCGAUUUCAUAUGGGGGACGGAUGUCAAAGAAAAAUUGUACGAUCAAGUCAUGGCCCUUUUACCGCCACCAUAAGCUCAAGCGAAACUUUGAUUCGUCUUCUGUGCAAAAUGCUAUCCAUAAAAUAACAUGUCAGGUUUAAAUAUCAAAGAGAACUUACAGCGCGCAAACAGCCAUCAAUCUCAAGGUGAAAAUCUUCUGACGAAAAAACCUCGUUCAACAGGUUAUACUCGGUGGAUGACUCAGUCUUUUUUUGAGUUCAAGGUCGUGAAUAGUUUGGCAUAAACUUGACCCGAUCCACUCUGCUGCCAAAUAAAAUCACUGGGUUCAAGAUACAGCGGCGCCAUGUACAGAAGCGAAAAAAGGGUUUCUUCUGUUUUUAUAACAUGAGGAUGUAACGGUUCCCCCCGCCGCACAUGGAGAUUUCCUAGUCGCCCAGCCGCUGAUGGCGUAUGUACGCAACCUUUUUUUUUUUUU